GAUUAAAUGAAGAGAAUCUGAAAUCACUCCUGAUCCAGGCGAAGUAAACAAGUGUCUAUUUCCAAGACUGUUCUACAAAUAGAACACAGGCCUGACACAGAGGACAUGUGUCGGAUUCCCCACCACACACACACACACACACCACACCACACACACACACACACCACACACACACACACACACACACAACGAGUCUGUCAUUCUUAAUGUCUGAAGAUGAGGUUUUGCUUUUGCAUUCUUUGCUUUAGUUCCGUGGAUCCUGACAAGUACCUGAUUCUCUACAGCAAUGGCCAGGGAUGUGUGACCGUUCUGCUUCUGGCAUCUCUGAACUACUAGGAUUCUAUGAAAGCUGUCAUUUCCAGCUCCAUGCAUGGGCCCAGCGCUCUGGUAAUAGGAUCUUUGGUUGGGCUCCCUGCCUACCUGAGCAAAAGCAGAAACAGCAGCAGCAGCAGCAGCAACAGAAGACAGGAAUCCCUGAAGAGCCCAAACACAGAUGGUCCUGCCUGCUGCCCGGCCAGGCCCACCCACUGGGGAGGAGGCAGAAGCAGAGAAGGUGACUCUUCUUGUCUCUUAUUAGAGAAGGAGGGAGAAACAUCUUGUUUUUCCUACCCGCAUCACUUUUAUUCUUCAGACUAUCUGUGGUUUAACACCUGGGGGUGAAAGAAGAAGAAAACACUAGUCAUCACUGAAAAUGAACCUGAGACCUUUAAAAAUCAGCAACCUGUCAGGAAAUUGACUGAUCAUAUUAAGAAACUGUAUAUCGUUUUCCUGUGAAUAUUGUUAGGGUGCACUAUGGGAACAACAAAUGUCAAGCAAAAGACGAAAGAGAUAAGGAAUGUUAGAAAAGAUGUUAAGACAAGAAAAGGCCAAGCAUUCCUUGGUUUGCCCCAAAGGCGAGCAGAAUGUGAUCAAACAAUCUUUUGUAACUACAAAGGAGUCAAGACGUUUUCAUUCUGUAAGGAAAGAACUUGCUGCUGACAGGUGGAAAGAAUCAAAUAAUUAGAGUCUGGAAUGCUUAUCUGCCUGGGUAAGCUGUCUUUCUCCAACCAAGAGUGCCAUUGAUGUAGUAAGGUGCACGAAAGCUGGAGUAGGGGCCCCUAAAUUCCUAUUAGAAUAACUUAAGAAUUUACACCCAAAAUUAAUCCCCCAUAUGCACAGCCUGUGAAACUUCCUUUUGUGGCCUUUAAAGAUUCAUUCUUUGGGGUUUAUUACAACUCAUUUAAAAUGUAAAUACUUUACAAGGA
rnacentral:lncRNA from 1 species